UUUAUGAGUAGAUAUGAGUGAAAGAAGUAAGCUCUAGAUCACAACAACUUUGAACAAUAAUAUGGCUCUCAAAAGCUUUAUGAAAUUGAAUAUAAAAUGAUAAACAAAAGUAUGCAAGCUUAUAGCAAUGUAAUGAUCAGUUGUAGUAUGUUGUUGUGUUUUAAAACACUGAAAUGAAGCUGUAUUUAUAGUUGAAAAACUUGGCAUUAUCGUUUCCUAAUUGCCAAUUAAGAGUUGCUGAUUUUACUCACUGACAAUCGAUUGUCAAACCCGAACAAUCGAUUUUCUGCCAGUCAGACCAAUAUUCAAUCCCAGAUUUUAC
rnacentral:lncRNA from 1 species